UACGUAGGGGGCGAGCGUUGUCCGGAUUCAUUGGGCGUAAAGAGCUCGUAGGCGGUUCAGUAAGUCGGGUGUGAAAUCUCCGUGCUCAACACGGAGCGGCCACCUGAUACUGCUGUGACUCGAGUCCGGUAGGGGAGUGUGGAAUUCCCGGUGUAGCGGUGAAAUGCGCAGAUAUCAGGAGGAACACCGGUGGCGAAGGCGGGUCUCUGGGCAGUAACUGACGCUGAGGAGCGAAAGCGUGGGGAGCGAACAGG
rnacentral:rRNA from 1 species